GCUGUGGGAAGGGGGGCUCAUAUCCAUGCGUUUGCAUCAUGCUCUGCAUAACUGCCUUCCCCCUUGGGACUUGAGGGGUAGCAGCUUGCAGCCCAGCCCUCAGGUGCCUCAGGAAUCAGAGAAGGCCUUUUCUGCAGCCCAGGCAAGGGCGGGGUCUGUCUGGGGCCAAGAUGAGGGUCCUCAGAGCAGCCUGCUUCUGGGCCGGCCAAGGCUUGCAGUGUCCGCCAGAGGGCAAAGGGCCACGAUGGGGCCUCUAGAGAAGUGGGAGAACCUGGCCCCUUCCUUGGCCACAAGGGGCUGGGGAGAGUGGGUUCAGAGGGCAGAUGUCCUCCUGCCCCGGGCGGCAGUGGUGGUGGUGGUGGGGGAGGUGUUCUCCUUGGGGACCAUCUCCACCCCCCAGAUGGCCAGUAUCCGGGAGGCCAGGUCACAGGGUGGAGCUUCUGGUCACAGAGAGGGUGGGGAUGGAGGCCUGGCUCCCCAGAUGCUGGGCCUUCCUUCCUCUUUCUGGGAAAAGGGGGAGCCGCCCCAUAGGCCCUGGGAGCUUGCCCAAAGGCCUCCACGCCUGGAUCCUGCACCUGAGCCGUUGAGCAGGGGAGGAAGUGCCAGUUCAGGGGGCAAACUCAGGCUUGUCCCCCUCUGCCAGCUGCAGAGUGGAGGAUUAUGCAUCCACAUCCUUGACGUCAGGCGUGGCCAUCUGUCCCCCCUCCACUGGGGACGGGGUGGCUCAUCAACAACGGGAAUGUCUUUCUCGGUUUUGGAGGCUGGAAGUACAAGAUCGAGGUGCCAUCGGGGUCAGGUUUUGGGGAGACGCAGACGCUGUGACCACAGCACCACGAGGCCUCGCUUUGACCAGCGAUAUGCAGCGAGCCGAGGUGGAGAUGAGCCUGCACGACAGCCGAGCCCUCUGAGCCCUCCGAGCUGCUGGGCGACCCUGGCCUGAUCUGAGCCCAGCCUGGAAGGCAGGAGCACUGUCUUACUUCCCUCUUCCUCCUGAGAGCCCUCACAGGGGCCAGAUUGCUGCGCUGCAUGGAGAGAGCCCCGUGGGGCCCGGAGCCACCCCCAGGACAGGUCCCCCACCAUUGGGGUUGGGGAGCUUCUCCCCUAAGGGUCCUGGGAUCCUGCCCAGAGCCUGGCCCCAGGACAGGAGUCCAGCGUGCUGGGGGAAGUGCUGCCAACGGUGGACAGACUUCAUUGUGUUCCUUGCAGGGGGCGCAGCCCUACCUUGCCUCUUGGAAGAGACCUGGAGCAGAGCUAGGCCUUUGCAGCAGGAGACCAGGGAUGCCAGGAAGUCGGGGCUCAACCACCAGCUCCUUUCUCAGGGAAAAGGGGGGGGCAGCUCCCAGGCAAAGGCCAAGCCCUGGUCCUGCUGAGGGAACCCUGGGUGCAAAUGAAGUGUUUAGUUGUGGGCCCAGCCGGCAGGCAGCCCGCACAGGCGGUGAGCCUUCCCUUUAUCAUCUGCAGCAAAGCAUUUACAGUCAAUAAACGGGCUAAUUAAUUCUCUUCAAAGACCUCUCAAUUAUUCAUCCAGGGCUACAGAGAGAACAAUUAGAGCAUCUCCGCUCAGGGCUCUGGAAGUGGAGGCAAGGCUGAGCCACAGAGCUGGGCCCAGGGCUGCACAGCCUGGGGUCUCCAGGGACCCCGUCCCCAACACAGGCCUUGUCUCUGGGGUACAGCAGGAUGGAUCCCCUCUUCUCCCUCCAACUUGCAAGCAGCUGGGAUCCUUAGCCUCACUCCUGGUGGUGGUGGGGGGGGGCGCAGAAAUCCUGAGCCCUGAGUGACUUCUGUCCAACAGCCCAUCUGAGCCGACUUGUGGACACAGAGCCAGGCUGUGGGCAGGCAGCCUCCCUGGAGGGGGCCAGGGACCCCCACUGGACCUGAGCUGAGCCCUCUGGCCCUCUAGGAAAGCAUCCCGCUGGGAGGAGGGGCAGAGGUCAAGGAGAGGAGAGCCAUCCGGCCAGAAGCUGCGGGCCAGGCUGGGUGGAUGUGACACCCCACCAACUGCCGGGGAGGGAAGUCACCCUUGGAGAGCUGGAGCCCAGGGAGGGCCCUCGGGUCCCCUGCGGAGGCACCCUGGUGCCCCAGCGGGGCUCCUCCAAGGCGGGGCACAGCUAGCUCCCCAGAGUUGCCCAAGUCCCCGCAAG
rnacentral:lncRNA from 1 species